AGCUUUUCUUACUCGAACCCUAGUACCAAAUUACCAGCCGCCACCUUAAAACUCUUCUCUCUGAACAGUCUCGAACCCUAAAAAAAAUAACCAUCUACAUACUCAAAUCACCAGAUUUCGUUUUCUGGUUAUCACACACAACUCAAACGUCUUUUUCUUUAACCACGAGCGUGUUGGGCUAUUGAGGAGAGGUAACAUAAUUUUUUUUUCAGGGAUAGCAGAAUCGAAAAAACGUUAAAAAGUAGAAAAAUUUGUAUUUCCGGCGAAAGGUUGAGAGGUAGCUGGGGCUACCCCUGCCACUGUGACAGAUCCGCCCCUGAUAAACAUUGCCAAUGUUGAUCAACAAAAGGGACUAGUGGGUUCAUAAAGGUAUACAAAAGAAAACCAUAUAUGGGGAUGGUACAUGAUCUAUCUUCUAAUUGUUGCGACGAGGAUGUGGGGAGGAUCCUUGUGAGCGAUUAUUUACCUCCUCAGAACCUUGAUGGCUUCGAGCUAAGUAAGUAACUGUGACUCGUAAGAAAUCGAAGCAGGAUCCGACUUCUAAUGGGCCGGUGCCGGAGAUGGAGCCGACGCCGGAAAUGGUUAUACCAGUGAACGAUAAUGUGAUGACUUGGAUCAGCCGGAAUUCUCAAGUUUCACAAGUGAUGAACUUGGAUGGAAAACUUGGAACUCUGAUAAUGUGAUUAUAUCUUUGACAGAUAUGAUUGUGGAAGACUUGGUUAAAGAAGACUUGGUUGAAGAAUACACAACAAAUCACUUUGGCAGCUUUACUCUUUAUUGUUUCCACGAUUUCUGCAACACAUUUUCAAUCAGAAUUUUCUCAACAUGGUUCAUGAAGGAAGUUCUUUAGAUUUAUCUCAUUUGAAGCCCAAGGUUUUUGCAAAUAUGAUGAGACUUCGUGGUACUGGGGUCGAUGCUCCUUUAUUUGGACACAUGAUUGUUCAAGAUGAAGAACCUCUAUUUCCACACUCACCUGCAAUUGAAACUGAUCCUGCUGUGGAUGCUCCUUUAUUUGGACACACUUUUGGAGUAGUUUUAUUUGAAAGAGUGAGCUUUUGAUAAAUGGUAUUUACUCUUUUGAAGUAGUUUUAUUUGAAAGUUUUGUGUGGAAGCCUAUUGUUAUUACGAGUUUUACAUUUUUAGUUGUUUCAUUAAAACAAAAAGUGUAGAGAUAAAAAAAUAGUGUUGCAUGUAAAAAAGUUACCAUGAUGAGUCAGAGAAGAAAAGGAUAUUACAUGUCAGGAUGUAAAUGAAGAUUUAGGGUUUUUUUUUU